rnacentral:rRNA from 1 species
UACAGAGGGUGCGAGCGUUGUUCGGAAUUACUGGGCGUAAAGGGCGCGUAAGCGGCGCGGGAAGUCCGUGGUGAAAGCCCGAGGCUCAACUUCGGGUCGGCCAUGGAUACUCCUGGGCUUGAGCACUGUAGAGGCAGGUGGAAUUCCGGGUGUAGCGGUGGAAUGCGUAGAGAUCCGGCGGAACACCGGUGGUGAAGACGGUCUCCUGGGCCGAGGGCCGACGCUGAGGCGCGAGAGCGUGGGGAGCGAACCGG